UACGAAGGGGGCUAGCGUUGUUCGGAAUUACUGGGCGUAAAGCGCGCGCAGGCGGCUAUCCAAGUCAGUGGUGAAAGCCCGGAGCUCAACUCCGGAACUGCCAUUGAAACUGUUUAGCUGGAGUAUGAGAGAGGUGAGUGGAAUUCCCAGUGCAGAGGUGAAAUUCGUAGAUAUUGGGAAGAACACCGGUGGCGAAGGCGGCUCACUGGCUCGUAACUGACGCUCAUGCACGACAGCGUGGGGAUCAAACAGG
rnacentral:rRNA from 1 species